GUGGGGAAUUUUGGACAAUGGGCGAAAGCCUGAUCCAGCCAUGCCGCGUGCAGGAUGAAGGCCUUCGGGUUGUAAACUGCUUUUGUACGGAACGAAAAGACUCUGGUUAAUACCUGGGGUCCAUGACGGUACCGUAAGAAUAAGCACCGGCUAACUACGUGCCAGCAGCCGCGGUAAUACGUAGGGUGCAAGCGUUAAUCGGAAUUACUGGGCGUAAAGCGUGCGCAGGCGGUUAUAUAAGACAGAUGUGAAAUCCCCGGGCUCAACCUGGGAACUGCAUUUGUGACUGUAUAGCUAGAGUACGGCAGAGGGGGAUGGAAUUCCGCGUGUAGCAGUGAAAUGCGUAGAUAUGCGGAGGAACACCGAUGGCGAAGGCAAUCCCCUGGGCCUGUACUGACGCUCAUGCACGAAAGCGUGGGGAGCAAACAGGAUUAGAAACCCGGGUAGUCC
rnacentral:rRNA from 1 species